rnacentral:snoRNA from 1 species
GGCCUUUGUGUUGCCCAUUUACUUUCGGAAACUUGUGAAUGUGGUGUCAAAAAAGGCAUAAAUUAAAUUCUUUUGCAGCCCCUCCCCCCCCCCAAUUUAAAUACACAUCUUUCAUUUCUCAGCAUAAGCUCCAACAAGGUCAGGA